AACACAACUGGAGGGGGAUCGAAGACAGAACCUUCUGGAUGAUCUUGUCACCCGAGAGAGACUGCUCCUGGCAUCGUUUAAGAAUGAGGGUUCCGAGCCGGAUUUGAUCAGGUCCAGCCUGAUGAGUGAAGAAGCAAAGCGAGGAACUCCCAACCCUUGGCUCUGUGAGGAGCCGGAGGAGACCAGAGGCUUGGGUUUCGAUGAGAUCCGGCAACAGCAGCAGAAAAUUAUUCAAGAACAGGACGCAGGUCUUGAUGCCCUUUCCUCUAUCAUAAGUCGCCAAAAGCAAAUGGGCCAGGAGAUUGGGAAUGAACUGGACGAACAGAACGAGAUCAUCGAUGACCUUGCCAACCUGGUGGAGAACACAGAUGAGAAGCUUCGCACUGAAGCCAGGCGAGUGACCCUGGUGGACAGAAAGUCAGCUUCCUGUGGGAUGAUAAUGGUGAUCUUAUUGCUGCUCGUGGCUAUUGUGGUGGUUGCAGUGUGGCCAACCAACUGAUGGCAAUAAGGGGACCACCCGCAGUGACACAGCCAACAAUGAGUGAAAGCCCAGCACCCUUUUGGUACACAACACCUCCUCUCAAUAAAUUCUCCACGCUCCCGGCU
rnacentral:lncRNA from 1 species